rnacentral:rRNA from 1 species
UACGUAGGGGGCAAGCGUUGUCCGGAUUUAUUGGGCGUAAAGAGCGUGUAGGCGGCCCUGACAGGUCUGCUGUGAAAACUCGAGGCUCAACCUCGAGCUGUCGGUGGAAACCGUGUGGCUAGAGUCCGGAAGAGGAGAGUGGAAUUCCCGGUGUAGCGGUGAAAUGCGCAGAUAUCGGGAAGAACACCCGUGGCGAAGGCGGCUCUCGUGGGACGGACUGACGCUGAGACGCGAAAGCGUGGGGGAGCGA